rnacentral:rRNA from 1 species
GAUGAACGCUGGCGGCGUGCCUAACACAUGCAAGUCGAGCGAUUCUCUUCGGAGAAGAGCGGCGGACGGGUGAGUAACGCGUGGGUAACCUGCCCUGUACACACGGAUAACAUACCGAAAGGUAUGCUAAUACGAGAUAAUAUGCUUUUAUCGCAUGGUAGAAGUAUCAAAGCUCCGGCGGUACAGGAUGGACCCGCGUCUGAUUAGCUAGUUGGUAAGGUAACGGCUUACCAAGGCGACGAUCAGUAGCCGACCUGAGAGGGUGAUCGGCCACAUUGGAACUGAGACACGGUCCAAACUCCUACGGGAGGCAGCAGUGGGGAAUAUUGCACAAUGGGCGAAAGCCUGAUGCAGCAACGCCGCGUGAGCGAUGAAGGCCUUCGGGUCGUAAAGCUCUGUCCUCAAGGAAGAUAAUGACGGUACUUGAGGAGGAAGCCCCGGCUAACUACGUGCCAGCAGCCGCUGUAAGAC